UACAGAGGGGGCAAGCGUUGUUCGGAAUUACUGGGCGUAAAGGGCGCGUAGGCGGCCUGUUAAGUCGAACGUGAAAUCCCCGGGCUCAACCCGGGAACUGCGUCCGAUACUGGCAGGCUUGAAUCCGGGAGAGGGAUGCGGAAUUCCAGGUGUAGCGGUGAAAUGCGUAGAUAUCUGGAGGAACACCGGUGGCGAAGGCGGCAUCCUGGACCGGCAUCGACGCUGAGGCGCGAAAGCCAGGGGAGCAAACGGG
rnacentral:rRNA from 1 species